AGAGUUUGAUCCUGGCUCAGAUUGAACGCUGGCGGCAUGCCUUACACAUGCAAGUCGAACGGCAGCGCGGGGCAACCUGGCGGCGAGUGGCGAACGGGUGAGUAAUAUAUCGGAACGUACCCUGGAGUGGGGGAUAACGUAGCGAAAGUUACGCUAAUACCGCAUACGAUCUACGGAUGAAAGUGGGGGAUCGCAAGACCUCAUGCUCGUGGAGCGGCCGAUAUCUGAUUAGCUAGUUGGUAGGGUAAAAGCCUACCAAGGCAUCGAUCAGUAGCUGGUCUGAGAGGACGACCAGCCACACUGGAACUGAGACACGGUCCAGACUCCUACGGGAGGCAGCAGUGGGGAAUUUUGGACAAUGGGCGCAAGCCUGAUCCAGCAAUGCCGCGUGAGUGAAGAAGGCCUUCGGGUUGUAAAGCUCUUUUGUCAGGGAAGAAACGGCAGUUUCUAAUACAGAUUGCUAAUGACGGUACCUGAAGAAUAAGCACCGGCUAACUACGUGCCAGCAGCCGCGGUAAUACGUAGGGUGCAAGCGUUAAUCGGAAUUACUGGGCGUAAAGCGUGCGCAGGCGGUUUUGUAAGUCUGAUGUGAAAUCCCCGGGCUCAACCUGGGAAUUGCAUUGGAGACUGCAAGGCUAGAAUCUGGCAGAGGGGGGUAGAAUUCCACGUGUAGCAGUGAAAUGCGUAGAUAUGUGGAGGAACACCGAUGGCGAAGGCAGCCCCCUGGGCUAAGAUUGACGCUCAUGCACGAAAGCGUGGGGAGCAAACAGGAUUAGAUACCCUGGUAGUCCACGCCCUAAACGAUGUCUACUAGUUGUCGGGUCUUAAUUGACUUGGUAACGCAGCUAACGCGUGAAGUAGACCGCCUGGGGAGUACGGUCGCAAGAUUAAAACUCAAAUGAAUUGACGG
rnacentral:rRNA from 1 species